UUUUUUUUAAUGGCAAAUAUAUAUAUUAUAUAUAAAAUAUAAAAGGAAGAAAUCUCCUACAAAAGUCCAAACAUAGAUACAAAUUUGAGUACAAGAAGUAUUCAAGUCAAGCGAUAACAAAAUCAAAGAAACCAUCCACAUAAAAGAAGAGCAAAAACUAAAACCACAAGAAAAACACAUAACUCCUAACAGGAACACCCAAGGGACAGGCGAACAUGAGAAAGACCAUGAGCAGAACCCCUCAGUCAACCAACCCGUAGACAAAUCUGCCACAAGACACUAAUGAUGCCAACAUAGAGUGGGUUCAUGAUCCCGCUCAUAGAAGGAACAGACGUGAUUAUAAUGUUUUUCUAAAAUCCACUUCCAAUAGGUGAACUUAACCAUAUCCACCAACUGGAGCACAUACAUCUCCUUUCUCGAAAAAAUGCGAGCAUUUCAGGAUCUCCACAUAGACCAGAUGACAAAUUGCCAGAUUAAUAUGUACCCUAACCUCUCCUUUUUCCUACCUAAAUCGAACAUAAAACUAAGAAGACUUGCUAGAUCUGAAGGUAAAACUAACUCCCAUCCCAACCAUCUAAACACAUGAUUACUAAACCUGGACUAAAAAAAGACAUCUAACAAAAAUGUGACAAGCCGACUCUACAUUCUCAUUACAAAAAGCACAAGAAAUACCACCAGGAUCAACUAUAAUUCUCCUUGAAAAGAGAUUUUGACGAGUUGGAAUCCUAUCCUCAAGCAGCUGCCAGGAGAAGACAUUUACCUUGAGAGGAGACCAAGACUCCCAUACCCUUGCAAUAAGUUACACAAUAUCCUUUGACCUCUCAUCAACCACAUUAACUCUCUUAUACUUUCUCCUCAACAUGACAAUGCACAUAUGAUUGUUGUGUAGCAACUGUGAAUUAGAAGUUCAACAUGACUUCAAAAAGUAAUAGAGGUUGAACACUUUAUAACUGAGAUGACCUAUAAAUUCAUUGUCUUUAAAGUUUUGGAUAAAAGUGAAUCGUCCCUUCAAAGCUCCUCUCAUAAUCCAACAAUAAUGUAUAUAAUUUAAAUCUCUAAUAUAUUUAUAAUACAUAAGUUAUAUAUUUCAGUUGUGGCAAAAAAAUCUAGCAUUUAAAAGUCUCUGAUAAAACUAUGUUCAUGUUAAAAAUCAACUUGACAAUAGUGGGGAGUUUAUUACUUUAACAUGCUAAAGACCACCUAAUAUAACAUAUUAUCUUUGAAAAAUUUGAUUUACUCUUUUGUAAUAGUCAAGGCCAUGGAAUUUACUAUUACCUCUGAUACAAGUUCAUAGCUACGUAGAUGUCCAGCAUUGCACAAUGCUUAUGUUCCUUUAAAAGCAAAAUUAGCAGCUCCACAAAAUUGGUAUGAGUAGAAAAAGUCAAGAAUCAACAAUUGAUCUUCCAAAAUCAAUAUUCGUAAGUUUAAUAAUUACCCAACCAGGAACCUUUAUUAAAUCCAAAUUAAUCAACUCUUCAGUUUCUUACUUUCUUAUUGUCGAUGAGUUUAAUUUAAACCUUCUGGAAAAAAAUUAUGCUUCUAAAUUAAAUUUUUUUUUUCCAAACACAAACAAAGAAGAUCCCAAAGCAGGUCCCCAUUUUGCAAAGUCUUGCUAACCCCUAACUUGCCAUUGCUUAAGAGGGAGGCUUGGAGAAUGGAGAUUCAUUGUAACUUAUCUCAUCCAUUCUUUCAAGAGAUGAAUUACAAUGUUCAUAUUUUACAUUUGAGGUGCUAGUUAAGUUGUAAGCUAAUCUCAAGGUGUUGAGUUAGAAUCUUGUUGGGGGCAACCGGAAAAUGACUUAGUGCCACCUGAAUUAAUAAAAUAAAUUACAACCCUAAUUUUUUAUGAAAA
rnacentral:lncRNA from 1 species